rnacentral:sRNA from 1 species
GCCGGUGAGAGGAGGGACAUGCAGCUUCUACUGCCUGUGGCUUCGUGGAAGCUCUGCUGAGUUAUCUGUGGCUUCCACUCUGCCGGGUUAUCUGUGGCCAAUGUCUACCUACCUGGCAGGGCGAGGCCUAUCCUCUUUUGACCCCCUUGGUCAGUACGUGCCCAGGAACCAUGUUCAAUAUCAUCUUGGAUCAAGUGCACUCAGGAUGAUAAAUGUGCUGUGAAACCACCUCCACAGCCUGAAUGUCCACAGUCAGACUGGAAAACCUUGGUGAUAGCUCUGGUGUGAGCCUGCCCUUGCUGCUGGGCCCUGCGUGAGUGCGGAGGCCAUGGCAGAGUACAGGGAGGCCAUAAGCCCCACAUCACUUUCCUUUAAUCUUUUUGCAGGGGGGAGUCUCGCCUUCUUCCUCGGUGAGUAUGGGGGCCUGAUCUUCAUCUGGCUGGAGAGAGAAGGGGCCUGAGGCCAGAGGGUGUGGAAGGGACCCUGUGGUGGCCACUCAGGCUUUCUCUUUUUCUGGCAGGCUUCCCGGGUGCAACCUAGCCUGCUGCAGUGGGUGAAGUUUUGGUAGGCAAUUUCUUCCAACCACCACCAAGGCCCCGAAAAGCACUGGUCAUCAGGGAGCUCCUCCCCUUGGCCCCCAGCCUGUGCCAGCCCUGGCCCGGCUGCCAUACCUCUGUUUCCUAGGCUGGGGACCCAGCUUGUCUCUCCUUGUUUCUUCCCACUGCACUGGGGUGCUUCAGUGACCACCAGCCUCAUCGGAUACACCAGC